rnacentral:rRNA from 1 species
CAAUAGCGUAUAUUAAAGUUGUUGCAGUUAAAAAGCUCGUAGUUGGAUUUCAGGCAGGAGCGACCGGUCACACACUCUGUGUGUGAACUUGUGUUGUCUCUGGCCAUCCUUGGGGAGAUCCUGUUUGGCAUUAAAUUGUCGGGCAGGGGACAUCCAUCGUUUACUGUGAAAAAAUUAGAGUGUUUAAAGCAGGCUUAUGCCGUUGAAUAUAUUAGCAUGGAAUAAUAAGAUAGGACUUCGGAACUAUUUUGUUGGUUUGCGUUACGAAGUAAUGAUUAAUAGGGACAGUUGGGGGUAUUCGUAUUUCGUUGUCAGAGGUGAAAUUCUUGGAUUUCCGAAAGACGAACUACUGCGAAAGCAUUUACCAAGGAUGUUUUCAUUAA